rnacentral:rRNA from 1 species
CGAAUGCUGACAUAAGUAACGAUAAAGCGGGUGAAAAGCCCGCUCGCCGGAAGACCAAGGGUUCCUGUCCAACGUUAAUCGGGGCAGGGUGAGUCGACCCCUAAGGCGAGGCCGAAAGGCGUAGUCGAUGGGAAACAGGUUAAUAUUCCUGUACUUGGUGUUACUGCGAAGGGGGGACGGAGAAGGCUAUGUUGGCCGGGCGACGGUUGUCCCGGUUUAAGCGUGUAGGCUGGUUUUCCAGGCAAAUCCGGAAAAUCAAGGCUGAGGCGUGAUGACGAGGCACUACGGUGCUGAAGCAACAAAUGCCCUGCUUCCAGGAAAAGCCUCUAAGCAUCAGGUAACAUCAAAUCGUACCCCAAACCGACACAGGUGGUCAGGUAGAGAAUACCAAGGCGCUUGAGAGAACUCGGGUGAAGGAACUAGGCAAAAUGGUGCCGUAACUUCGGGAGAAGGCACGCUGAUAUGUAGGUGAAGUCCCUCGCGGAUGGAGCUGAAAUCAGUCGAAGAUACCAGCUGGCUGCAACUGUUUAUUAAAAACACAGCACUGUGCAAACACGAAAGUGGACGUAUACGGUGUGACGCCUGCCCGGUGCCGGAAGGUUAAUUGAUGGGGUCAGCGCAAGCGAAGCUCUUGAUCGAAGCCCCGGUAAACGGCGGCCGUAACUAUAACGGUCCUAAGGUAGCGAAAUUCCUUGUCGGGUAAGUUCCGACCUGCACGAAUGGCGUAAUGAUGGCCAGGCUGUCUCCACCCGAGACUCAGUGAAAUUGAACUCGCUGUGAAGAUGCAGUGUACCCGCGGCAAGACGGAAAGACCCCGUGAACCUUUACUAUAGCUUGACACUGAACAUUGAGCCUUGAUGUGUAGGAUAGGUGGGAGGCUUUGAAGUGUGGACGCCAGUCUGCAUGGAGCCGACCUUGAAAUACCACCCUUUAAUGUUUGAUGUUCUAACGUGGACCCGUGAUCCGGGUUGCGGACAGUGUCUGGUGGGUAGUUUGACUGGGGCGGUCUCCUCCUAAAGAGUAACGGAGGAGCACGAAGGUUGGCUAAUCCUGGUCGGACAUCAGGAGGUUAGUGCAAUGGCAUAAGCCAGCUUGACUGCGAGCGUGACGGCGCGAGCAGGUGCGAAAGCAGGUCAUAGUGAUCCGGUGGUUCUGAAUGGAAGGGCCAUCGCUCAACGGAUAAAAGGUACUCCGGGGAUAACAGGCUGAUACCGCCCAAGAGUUCAUAUCGACGGCGGUGUUUGGCACCUCGAUGUCGGCUCAUCACAUCCUGGGGCUGAAGUAGGUCCCAAGGGUAUGGCUGUUCGCCAUUUAAAGUGGUACGCGAGCUGGGUUUAGAACGUCGUGAGACAGUUCGGUCCCUAUCUGCCGUGGGCGCUGGAGAACUGAGGGGGGCUGCUCCUAGUACGAGAGGACCGGAGUGGACGCAUCACUGGUGUUCGGGU